UCAAUUUUGUUCCUUUUUCCAAUUACUACCUAUGAUUUUCAACUCCAGAUCUCUCUGAAUCUGAGAUCCUCUCCCUUCCACUCAGACGUUUUUUCUUUCAUGUUUUCUCUCUGAAUCUGAGAUCCUCUCCCUUCCACUCAGACAUUUUUUUCUUUCAUGUUUUUAUUAACUAGUAUAUCCAUGUCAUAUAUUUUUUUUUAAUGUUAAAUCUUAAAAUGCAAAUUUUAAAAAAUGUGGCCAAGAGGAGUUAAACCUAUGACAAUUGGAUUAAAGUGGCAAUACUUGACUACUGGACCAACCAACACAUUUGAUUAAUUUAUUACAACAAAUAUAUGUAUUAAAUAAAUGAUUCUAGAAUUACCUGAAUAUUUUAUUAAAUAGUUUAAUUAUUUCACAUCAUUAAAUAUUUUAAUUAGUAUUUCAACUAUGUUAAAUAAUUAGUUUAUUAAAUAUUUCAACUAUUUAAUACUUCAAAAACCAACAUGAAGAUGAAGCUUUAAUGGAAGAUGAUGGUGAAGAUUGUGAGAGAAAGAGUAAAUAAUAAAGUUAUAUAAUCAAACUACCAAAAAUAAUUGUGGUUUAAAAUAGUGGUGCACUAAAUAAUUAUAUAUGAAUACCUCAUAAACAAACUCAUAUGAUUUAUUGAUCUCAAAAAGUUCUAGGUUUGUGUGAAGGUUGGGCAUGAAGAUAUUAAUUCAAACUAUUAUAACUGACAAGAGAUAGAGUACAUAGGAACUUAGUUGGUUUCAACUGACAAGCAAUUUAGCAUUUAAGAGUAUAUGGGAUAUUACAGAUUCAUUAAUGUCAUUCUAGAUAAUGGACUAAUUCAAUUUAAGGAUAAGGAAAUGUCAUUAUCAAAAGUGUUUAUAUUUUUCUCUAAGAAGUGGGUGUUUCAAGAAUCAAGUAGUAGGAAAAUUACAAAGAGCUAUAAGUAGUUGAGUCAAGAGUAAUUAUAGUGUCUGUUUAUUGAACCAGACUCAUUGCGGGUCCGUUUAAUAAUAAAGUUACAUAAUCAAACUACCAAAAAUAAUCAUGGUUUGAAAUAGUGGAGCACUAAAUAAACAUACAUGAAUACCUCAUAAACAAACUCAUAUGAUUUAUUGAUCUAAAAAAGUUCUAGGUUUGUAUGAAGAUUGGGCAUGAAGAUAUUAAUUCAGACAAUGGUUUGAAAUAGUGGAGCACUAAAUAAACAUACAUGAAUACCUCAUAAACAAACUCAUAUGAUUUAUUGAUCUAAAAAAGUUCUAGGUUUGUAUGAAGAUUGGGCAUGAAGAUAUUAAUUCAGACUAUUAUAACUGACAAGAGAUAGGGCACAUAGGAAUAUAGUUGGUUUCAAAUGACAAGCAAUUAAGCAUUUAAGAGUAUAUGGGAUAUUACAGAUUCAUUAAUGUCAUUCUAGAAGUACUCUUCAUUUUUAAACGGACCCGCAGUGAGUCUGGUUCAAUAAAGACACAAACUAAUAAAAUGGUCUAAUGAAGAAAUUUUAGAUUAAAACCAACAUGAAAAUAAAAAGAUAGAAAUAUAAAAAAUUGUCAAUUAUGAAAGAUGUAAAUCUCUUAUUGAUAUAUGUGAUUGUUCUAUGGUACUAUGCUUUGACGCGUACUUCCUUAAUGGAAGUAUAUCUCAUUUUUCUUCUCUCUCUCAGUCUGCAAUGAUGCUUGCAAGAAACCAAGAAAAUGUCAUAAGCAAAAAAACAAACAAAAUGUCCAAUUCCAACAACUAAUAAAUAAUGAUAAUAUCCAAUUACAUUUUAACUCAAAUGCCUGCACCCCAUUAAAAGAUGUUCAUUUUUCAUAUCAAAAGAAUAGAUGAAAACUUGUGAUUCAUUAGCAGAUGAUAAAAUGUUCAAAGGAAAGACAAAACUCAAGAUUCCAUUACCUUCAAAUUUUUACCAAUGGCGAGGGUAAUAUGCAUAACAGUGAAAUCUAAUUUCACAAUAAAAUCAAGCAUUUAACAUUGAAACUUAUUAUAGGAAGAUGAUAGAAUAUGUAAUCUAAAAUACAUUUAUUUCAAAAGAACUUCUGAUUGUUUUUUAUUUGUUAAUAUUUUACUUUUGUUGGUGUUUUCUUAUGUUGAACAACAACGCAUAAAUGUAAUUUUAUUAGUUUGAUCGAGAGGUACUUUUGAUUGUUUUUUAUUUGUUAAUANACAUACAUAAAUUUAUAUACACUUACAUGGUGGUUUUAUGUAAUCUAUUACCACUAUGAGGGGAAUAAGAUUUUGGAGAGUUUUGCCAAAUUUUGGCCUGUAAUAUGAGAGAAAAUAUCAUUUCCACCAAUUUUUCUCCGCACCUAAAAAUAAUGAUCCUUAAGUAGUUACGACAUCUGUAUCAGUAAAAAUAACAAAUAUUUGUUAAUGUCUUUGAUUAAAAAAAAUAUUUUGAAAAAUUCACAUUAAUAUAUUAUGUCAAAAGAAGAUGUGAACAAUAACGCUUUUUGUUUUUAACCAUAGUGAAGGCUUGAAGUCUCGUUAAACAUCUUUUAAAUUGAACACUUCGGUGGUGUAGGGUCGCACAGUGAGUUAUUAGCUUUCGCAGGUAGCGCAAGCCCUACUUAUUAUUGAAAUAAUAUUAAAAUCAAGUGGCACAUGGCAGCCACAAAUAGCAAAGUUCAACUCCUUUCGUGAUAUUCUUGGCCUUCAAGAGAUUUUAAGGCCGGCAAAAAUGUCAAUCCAUAUGCUUGAGCUACAAAUAAAGGAGUUAUCGAAGUAAUAUAUUCUAAUAAAAAUACGUAAUAAAUACAAAUAUCAAAUCAUCUUCAACUCAUUUUCAUGCAUGUAAAGGUUAUGGAUCAUGUAUGUAAUAUUGACAUUUCUAAUUUCCUCUGCCCAGGUAAAAAUAAUACAAUAAAACUAAAAUAAUAAUUUAGCCUAUGAAAUCUUAUGCAAGCGUCCAUUUGACAAACGUCCUGAGUGAUGUUAAAAUAGUGAUCCAUAAGGACUAUUGCUAAGGCAUAGGUUGGGUGAAGAUGUUGCUUCAUUUCCCUGAGUGUCCGCUUAUUGAAUCACCAAAAUUAAAUAUAGCUUCGUAGGAAGAGGAUUGCAUUUGAAAGUACAUUCGAAUAUAAAAGUGAGGCUAAAGAGAAUUAAGAACUUCAUGUUAUUAUUUAAAAUCAUGAGACAUGUGUUGAACAUAUGUGAAUGAUGGUAGAUUGAAUUUAUAUAAUAUUAUCUACAAGCCCACUAAUCUUGUCAUACAUCUUUUGAUCUUACACAUUAGCGAAUAUUUUCGCAAACAUAAACACUUUAAGUACAUAUUUGUUAUUUUAUCAUAUUCUGCACCGUUUGCUUUUGUGUAUAUAAUGACUAUCAACACACUUACAUAACACCCUAUAAAAGAACCAUACAUUAAAUCAAUGUUGUAUCGGCUGGUUUUUAUAUAGAAUAGUUGAUGAACCACCUUUAUUCCCCAACAAACCAAUGUUGGAGUUUUAUUAAUUUGUUAUGAAUAAAAUUGUACAUUAUAUUAUUUCUUAACGUACAGAAUGGAAUUAUACAUAUAUUGACAUCAUAUUUAUUCACUUAAACCAAAUUAUAAUUGUUAGAUUUUAAUUAAUCAUGCAGUUUUGUUAUAUCUCGAAUAAACAGUUAAAUGAGUAUCUGAAAAAUGAAACAAGUACAUAUCAAGUAGUUAAUUUAUGGUACUGUCCAAACAUAAGGCUAAUCCGCAUCAAAAUUAUCUAUACUAUUGUCCAAACUAAAACAUCCAUUGGAACAUGUAUACCAAAAGCCUAAACAUAUAAAAAUCUGAAAGAACAUGUACGAAACUCAUCCUAUCAUUGCACAAACUCCACACGGAAGAUCAUAAUGAACAGCAACCCUUGAAACAUCCAUAACAGCCUUCUCUUAGUUUCAACCUGCAAAGACAUACCUGAAAAAUACAACAAUGAUGGGGUAUAGAUAGUAAUCUCAGUGAAGUUCUCACAUCUACUGGGUACACCUGCGGCUCGAACAGGCUAAUUCUAUUCACAAUGUUUCAACUCAUACCAACUCAAGUCAAAAAGGGAACGAAGACUUGAGCGAUGGGGAAACUAUCCGCAAUGUAUGCAUAACGAUGGCAGUCUGGAGUUCAUCAUAACCAACACUGAUCAGUUGCUUAUCUCAGAUUAACGAAACAUCAAUUCCCUGAUCGGACUACGUCUAAGCCAGCCCGUUCAUGCAUGCUCGUAAUAUUGACUUUCGCGGGAUAUCAGGUUCCCUCUAUGGAAUCUAACCUCACUUUAAGAACGCAUCGAGCGGCCAUAUGGGACACUAACCCAACAUAGGGUAUCUUUCAAUGUAUGGGACUACAACCCACAUAAGGGUCCACCUUUCCCCACAUGUCCGCCCAUGGUUUGGGGCUAAACCCAUGAGGCUCUAAAACAGCGAUCACCUUUGGUCCUUUACACCAAUGCUUACUCAUCUAAUGCAUAUCGCACAAGAGAUGCGUGUACCACAUAGAAAAAACACACCAAUUCUGAAUACAUGACGGUUCCAUAUCAUUGUUCCCUUCCACGAACCAUAACAAAUUCCAUCAAUCAUAGGUACUUCAUUCACUGCAUAAUACACAAAUAAUAACAUGGCAGUUCCAUAAUCAUCAGGUGUCUGUCAUUCACCAUGAUACACAAAUAAUAACAUGCAUUGUUCCAUAAUCGUCUCAUUUCUCUAACAUGGCAACAACAUUCGUCCACGCCUCACCCCAUAAGCGUCAGUAUGAAAGAAUACUCGUAUUCUCAUACAUAUUAUCACAUAAUGUUCCAUACCUAGAUCAUAUUUCAUAGUUAAAUCAAAUUAAUUCUUCUAGGAUUUCCUCACUCAUCUUGUAAGGUUUUUAAUCAUGUUAUUAUCACCUUCCACAAUAACACACAAUAUUUAAUUUUCAUCAUGAUAAAUUCAUAGCAUUUAAUAAAUCACAUAACUAUUUUAUAACAGGAACAAAUAUAUAGUCAUUUAUGGUACUUAGUCAUUGUUAUUUUGCAUCAUUCAAGCCAUACACCAAGUAUGUUUAACAACCGCAUACAUAAAUUAUAAGUUCAGUUAAUGUAAACACAUAAUAAAAUCAUAUGAUAUAAUCAAUAAUAGCCUUAUUAUCUUACUAAUGCAAUACCGUAGUUCCGUCCGCCCCAUCCAAAAGCGGAGUUAUAUAGCUCAUUAAUUCAGGCCUUAAUCACCUAACGAUAGAUUAGAUUAAUAUGUAUUCUAUGUGCAUGAAGCAUUUAAACAACAACCUCUCUAGCCUAAGCUGACGUAAGGCAGACGAAUGUUCAGAGUGAGUCCCUGCGUUUGAAUGCCGUUGGUGACAGAUUCCUGUAAAACAGGUAAAUUACAAAUCUGUUUCACGGCUUAACGCGAUUAACCAUGUAACGAACAUGAUUUUCCAGCAACAACAACAUGAUAUUCACACUAUCUAGCACGAUAGGCGAGUAUGAUUUUCCACAGACAGAAUCAACGAUGAUACAACACAUAAGCACGUGAUUAGGUAAUGUUUGCUCUCUUUAUUAAAUAAUCAAUCCCUUCAGAGUUUCACCAUUUUACUCUUAUUGGUCCUCAAUUGGACAACAUUUAGAUGCACAUACGGAGCUUCAAUUUGUUAGCAUCCUUAACCAAUCAUAUAUACAUAGCGAAUUCAAUAGGUUCAACUGUACAACUAGAUUGGACAUUUAAGGGAAUAUGGGAUAUUACAAUCUCAUCCUUAAAAGUCAAUGGGACAAACUAUCCUCACUUUCUCUUUGAUUAUUGACUAUCAAAAUAAAAAAAUAAAACGAUUUCAGUAUUAUUGUGUAAUUCUUGAGCAACUAAAUAUCAUACAUACUACAAACAACACAACUCUUAUAAUUCAAAAUGAAAAUUAAUUCAUAAAAUUACUGUGUAACUCUUAGCAAUGAAAAUUCAUUAUAAAAAAAUAAAAUAUCAUUUAACAUAUAAAAUGAAGGAGAGAAAGAUCCUAAAACUAAUAUAAGAUCUUAAUCAUAGUCUCAAACUCAAGCUAUAAUAAGGAAGCAACAUGUUCAGGCCAAACUAAGAUACAUAUGCUACAGAAACUCAAAGUGAAAACGAGAAUACAUGAGUGCAACUGCAACAAACCAAAGCAAUCUAACUCAUAGGUUCCAAAAUUAAACAUAAGGAGAGCCACAAAAUCAGAAAUGUGAAGCGCCAAUAAGAACUUUGCAAAAUAUGGCCCAACAACUUAAAAACUGAAACAAGUCAAACAAAACACCGAACAACAAGUGAAAUAUAUUAACAAAUAAAAAACAAUCAAAAAACGUUUGUAUGAAGAACCGCAAAAAUACGGUGGGUAGUUUUUUUUUUAAUAUUUAACUUAUUAUACAUAUAGCAAUAAUGAUUGUUAAUUAAGUUGUUCAUUUAUAUAUUAAUAAUUGUUUUUCUACCAAUUUUAUUUAUAUAUACAUGUACAAUAUUUAAUUCAAGUACAUCUUUUUAUGUAGGUUUUGAUAAGGAUGAGACAUUCAAAGCAUGUUGUGGAGGCGGUGGGCCACAUAAUUUUGAUCCAAGAAUGGGGUGUGGAAGUCCUAUAACAACUGUUUGCUCUGAUCCUUCUAAAAAUAUAAACUGGGAUGGAGUUCAUUUUACAGAAGCAGCAUAUAAGCUAUUAGCAAAAGGAUUAGUUGAAGGACCUUUUGCAUAUCCCUCACUUAAACCAGCUCCUUUUCAAAUAGUCUAAAAGCAUUCAAGAUAGUUUCGUACGAGGAAUUAAGAAAUACGUAUCUCACAAUUUAUGUAGCUCUCGGCGGGAUUAGUUAUAUAUUCCUUAAAGUUAAUGUCAUUCUUUUUAAAAUUUAAUUUAUAAAUGCCAUUGGUAUAAAUUGUUUUUAUACAAUCAGCCAAUUAUAAAUACUAAAUAAUUAUAUAUUGAAUUAUCUUUAAAUUAUAUUUAUGAAUAAGUGUGAUAUACAGAUAAUAUAAAACUUUUUUUAUUAUCAGUUCAUAUCAAUUAAACUCAUCUUUUAAAUUAGUAUUAAAAAGCUAAUAUAUAUAUAUCAUUAUAAAAGUAAAUAAUAGAGAUAGAAAGACCACAUCAAGAAUUUAGACCAAUUUAGACUUAAACAUGCAGCCUAAUCCAAUCCGCAAGAGUUUCGUCUUGAUAUUUCCACUAAAAUGGAUUGAGCUUUUAAACUAGAAUUAGCCCAACAACCUUCCUUACUAAAACCUUUUUACUACUAGAUUUAUCUUGAAAGCUCAAAGUCAACUGUAAUGAUACAAGAUCACGACACUCUUGAAUCAUUAUUUCAACACAACAACAGAAUUACAUAACUCUCAAUAUAAACAUUUCACUCUUUCAACUAUGAACUAAUUAAUAGUGUAUAAAAACGACAAUGGGAAGAGAGUGAUUGAGUGAGAAAGGAGUUUAAUUUUUUUUACCAGAGAUAAGAUAUAACACACAAUAUUGAUGCAUUGUGUGAGACAAGAUGGUCUGAAUUAAUGGAUGAACAAUUAAAUAAUGUAAUAAAUAAAAGACACAUAAUUACUAACCUAAUUCAGUACAACUAUCAACUACGUCUAAGGGGAAGUAGUUCAACUGAAAGAAAAUUCACUAAUAUAAGUAGUCAAUAGUACAUAAUGACUAAACAAACCUCAAUUUUGUUCCUUUUUCCAAUUACUACCUAUGAUUUUCAACUCCAGAUCUCUCUGAAUCUGAGAUCCUCUCCCUUCCACUCAGACGUUUUUUCUUUCAUGUUUUCUCUCUGAAUCUGAGAUCCUCUCCCUUCCACUCAGACAUUUUUUUCUUUCAUGUUUUUAUUAACUAGUAUAUCCAUGUCAUAUAUUUUUUUUUA
rnacentral:lncRNA from 1 species